GAUGAACGCUGGCGGCGUGCUUAACACAUGCAAGUCGAACGAUUAAAGCCCGCUUCGGUGGGUGUAUGGAGUGGCGAACGGGUGAGUAACACGUGGGCAACCUGCCCCUCACUUCGGGAUAACUCAGGGAAACCUGAGCUAAUACCGGAUACUCCGGGAUGGUCGCAUGGCCGACCCGGGAAAGUUCCGGCGGUGAGGGAUGGGCCCGCGGCCCAUUAGCUUGUUGGUGAGGUAACGGCUCACCAAGGCGACGAUGGGUAGCCGAGCUGAGAGGCUGAUCGGCCACACUGGGACUGAGACACGGCCCAGACUCCUACGGGAGGCAGCAGUGGGGAAUCUUGCGCAAUGGGCGAAAGCCUGACGCAGCAACGCCGCGUGCGGGAUGAAGGCCUUCGGGUUGUAAACCGCUUUCAGCAGGGACGAAACUGACUGUACCUGCAGAAGAAGCCCCGGCUGACUACGUGCCAGCAGCCGCGGUAACAC
rnacentral:rRNA from 1 species